UACGGAGGAGGCUAGCGUUAUUCGGAAUUACUGGGCGUAAAGCGCACGUAGGCGGCCGGUUAAGUCGGGGGUGAAAGCCCGGGGCUCAACCCCGGAACUGCCUUCGAUACUGACUGUCUGGAGGUCGACAGAGGUGAGGGGAAUUCCGAGUGUAGAGGUGAAAUUCGUAGAUAUUCGGAGGAACACCAGUGGCGAAGGCGGCUCACUGGCUCGUUACUGACGCUGAGGUGCGAAAGCGAGGGGAGCAAAUAGG
rnacentral:rRNA from 1 species